rnacentral:rRNA from 1 species
GUCUACGGCCAUACCACCCUGAACGCGCCUGAUCUCGUCUGAUCUCGGAAGCUAAGCAGGGUCGGGCCUGGUUAGUACUUGGAUGGGAGACCGCCUGGGAAGCGCCCCUCACCCCACCCC